UGUACAUAUCAAAAUCUGCAAGAAAGUAAAACGAACUCAUUAUUUAUUUUAGAAACAUGAUGUAUGUGUUAUAUAUAGAAUUUCUAAAUGCUUGAUGAUGAGAAAGCUGCAAACUAAGUCAGAUACAGCACUGACCUAGAAAGCAUUGAGACCCUGCACUAUAUGUGAUAAGUACAAAUGCUUUUCUAACUUUAUUUACUUUUAACUUGCUGGCCGAUCUUUUCUUUUGUGUGAUAGAAUCAGCUCCUAAAGUGUACCGUGGCCUACAUCUGUGAAUUUAAACUAAGGAAAUGAUACUUAAAAGUGGAUCUGUGAUCGUGCCUGCUGCUCCUUUGGAUGCAUAAACAUCAGACCUUUAUUCUCAUUGCUGCAUCCAUUGCUGUCUUGGGGCAGUGAAGAGGGCUCCUGUUUGCCUCUCUGCACAGUUUCACUGAAAUUGAAUCAUCUCCAAUGUAUCUGCCAAACCCUGGCUAAAGACAAGAAGGUCUGAACACAGCAAGAACUCAGUAAGGAGAACCAUGCACUUGUGAAAGGAAGAAGCCCUGGAACUGAGGCUGAACACCCAUCUGGUCAGCAGGAGAUCAGAAGUCAUGUUCAGCUCCCAGCAACCUGCCUGUCAGCCUGGAACGUUGCUGUAAAAUCCAUGCAGUUAUGCAGCAAAGCCUCCAGCCAGAUGAAAUUUGUAUGUGUGAGGAGUUUGUGCUGGUUGGAAAUACCUGAAAUAUUGCAGUUACCUGUUGGUUGAAGAACAAGCAUCCAUGAAUAAAUGUAAUUUUGAAUUGUCCCA
rnacentral:lncRNA from 1 species